rnacentral:rRNA from 1 species
CCCCUGUGAAUUAUACCUUUAAUUGUUGCUUCGGCGGGACUUCGCGCCCGCCGGGGACCCAAACCUUCUGAAUUUUUUAAUAAGUAUCUUCUGAGUGGUUAAAAAAAAUGAAUCAAAACUUUCAACAACGGAUCUCUUGGUUCUGGCAUCGAUGAAGAACGCAGCGAAAUGCGAUAAGUAAUGUGAAUUGCAGAAUUCAGUGAAUCAUCGAAUCUUUGAACGCACAUUGCGCCCGUCAGUAUUCUGGCGGGCAUGCCUGUUCGAGCGUCAUUACGCCCCUCAAGUCCCCUGUGGACUUGGUGUUGGGGAUCGGCGAGGCUGGUUUUCCAGCACAGCCGUCCCUUAAAUUGAUUGGCGGUCUCGCCGUGGCCCUCCUCUGCGCAGUAGUAAAACACUCGCAACAGGAGCCCGGCGCGGUCCACUGCCGUAAAACCCCCCAACUUUUUAUAGUUGACCUCGAAUCAGGUAGGACUACCCGCUGAACUUAAGCAUAUCAAUAAGCGGAGGAAAAGA